CUAGUACUCCCUUCGUCCGGAAAUACUUGUCAUCAAAAUGGAUAAAAGGGAAUGUAUCUAGACGUAUUUUAGUUCUAGAUACAUCUCUUUUUGCAGAGGCCUGGGUAUACCUCCAUUAUCAAAAAGACAUCUCUUUUUUAUCCAUUUUGAUGACAAGUAUUUUCGGACGGAGGGAGUACUUC
rfam:Triticum aestivum genome assembly, contig: Triticum_aestivum_CS42_TGACv1_scaffold_577256_7BL